CUUCCGCCCGCCUCUUCAACGCGCACGCUGCUACCGAGCUGCAGGAGGCCGCGGGCGCGAGACUGGGAAUGCGCAGGGCCCCCGCCUGGCUCUACAAGCCCGGGCCGCGGCCCCCGCCUUCCCCGCCGCCUCCCGGCGCUCCGUGCCCGCCCCACGAGGCCGGCGGCUGCUGCUACCUGGGGCCGUUGCUGCUUGUGCCGUGAGCGACGGCCAGCCAUUGUCCCCGCCGCUCCGUCAGCCGCGCCCGGCCGCGCGCGCACCGGAAGGCGCAUUGGCGUCUUGCGGGCUCCGGGCCGGGUGGGCAGGAUGGCCUCCACAAGCCGCAUGGCGCGCAUGGGGAGCCUCCGUUGAUGCCGCCGCGCCGCCCUCCGAGGCUGCAUCCGCGGAAGCCCGGCUCCCCGAGCGCUCCGGCCCGGCCCGGCGCCCCGGACCUGAGUGCGUCCCCAUGAAGGCGCCCGGGCUGGCCCAGGCGGCCGUGGCAGAGGAGACCCCGGACUGGGCGCCCGAGCUCUGCCCCAGCCCCGAGUCGCGGUCGCCGGAGCCGCCUGCCAACCGCCUUCAAGACUUCGACACGCUGGUCACCGUGGGAAAGCAACUAGAAGCCAUUUGUGUCAAGGUAACGUCUGGAGAAACAAAAGGUCAGGAACGGCCAACGUCCCUACUGGCCACAGUCUAGCCCCAAUCUGCAAGACAGAGCCAGCCGCCCCGGGGGAAUUCCCGCCUGGUGGGACUCCACGUCACCAGCCCCCAGCUGCUCAGGGUACAGCCCCUCGUGAGAACCGAGCCACAGUCAUGUUUCCUACAUCAGCCUCCUGCUCAGGGGUUUGUACAGAGACCACUGCCAGCCCUCUAGGUGGUCCCUGCAAAGAAAGUCCCAGCUCCCAAGGCUCCAAAUGGACAGGGCACCAUGUUGACCCCUUCGUUGGCCUCCAGUUCGCCGACUGUAACAUGUUUCAUCCAGUUCAGGACGUUUAUUUAUUUCCAACUUGCAUACAAAACAUACUGAGAAACUAAAACCAUCGUUAAAAGUGAAGACACGUUGAGACAGGUAUCUCGACCUGCCAAGUAUACAGCUAAAGCUGAGUUCAUAAAAAGGGAUGAUUUGGCCGACGGUCAUCUGCCAGAUUCUGAUGAUGAUUCAGAAGUCAGUGUGGAAGAAGAUCAGAGGGAGAGGCAGGCGCUCUUUGACUUAUCAAGCUGCUCCCUGAGGCCCAAAAGCUUCAAGUGUCAGACUUGUAAAAAGUCAUAUAUAGGGAAGUGGGGACUGGCCCAGCAUUUUAAACUUAAUCCAGGCCAUGGCCAGCUGGACCCUGAGAUGGUGCUAUCUGAGAAAGCCAAUGGGAGCACCCUCCGGGGGUGCACAGAGGAAAGGACGCUCAGCCUGACCUUCCCGAGGCUGUCCGUGCCAGCGGCUCCGCGUGAGGGAGGGGCCCGCUCCUGCUUGGUGAGAGAGUCAGCACGCGGUGGCCUGGUCUCACUCUGUCGCCCAGGCUGGAGUACAGUGGAGCAGUCUGAGUUCACUACAACCUCCACCUCCCAGGUUCAAGUGAUUCUCCUGCCUCAACCUCCCGAGUAGCUGGGACUACAGUCACGUACCACCAGUUGAAAAAGAUCAUCUAGCAAAGCCUUUUUUCCCAGCUACAUAUAAGGAAUUUGAAAGUCGCAUAAAAUGGUUAAGAAAAUGUGCCAAGAUUACCUCAGUAAUUCUGGUCUGUGUUCUCAGGAGACCCUGGAAAUAAACAAUGUGUCUUCUGUGGCUUCAGCGUCACCUAGUGCAGGCUGCCAUUCAACAAACGCAUUGUCAACAGUCAACCAAAAGAAACCCAUUGGCCACCAUACCCUGAGGACUAACCCUGACACAGAUGCCCUUCCAGAUGCCCUCAGUAGUCUAACUGAUUCCAUCGCCCCAGCCUUGGGGGAGAAGCACUGCUGCCUAUGCACUCCAUUUACAGGUGAACUGUCACCCCUACAACUCAGCUUGCAACCAGCCCUGGCCACCACCAGUUUCCCCACACUGAGCUGAAUAUUGGACAUGCCCAUCUUAGACAUUCCAGCCCAUUCUGAAAUUCCACAUCGAUUCACCCGACAAAGUCUGAAGUUCCAGGGCAAUUUAUCUGGAAAAGCUCACCUGGAAUCAUGUGUCAUUUCAACCAACAACUGUUGAAGAGGACGUGGCAUCAAAACCAAGUAUUGGAGACCAGGAAUCUGAGAUCAAGGUGUGGGCAGGGGUGCGCUCCCCCUGGAGGUUCUAGGAGAGGAUCCUUCCUGCCUCUUCCAGCUCCUGGUGGCUCCAGGUGUCCCUGGGCUUGUGGCCACAUCACUACAUUCUCUGCCUCCAUCUCCACGUGACCUUUUCCUCUGUGUCUGUGUCUCCUCUUCUGUCUCUUAGAAGGACACUGGUCAUUGGAUUUAAAGGCCACCUGGGUAAUUUAUAGUGAUCUAAUCUCAAGAAUCUUUCCUUAAUUACAUGCAAAUACUCUUUAUCCAAAUUAGUUUGCAUUCACAAAUUCUGGAGCUUAGUACUUGGACAUAUAUUUUGGGGGGUUGAUGGUUGGAGGGGCUUUUAUUCAACUCAGUACAUCUUAAUAAGGAAUUAAUGCCCCCCAACUUGCCUUACAAGUCAUAUAUUAAAAACAAUGUUGGCCUGGCACAGUGGCUCAUGCCCGUAAUCUCAACACUUUGGGAAGCCAAGGGAGGAGGAUCACUUGAGCCCAGGAGUUGGAGACCAGCCUGGAUAACAAAGGGAGACCCAGUUUCUACAAAAUAUUUAAAAAUUAGCCAGGCAUGAUGGUGCAUGCCUGUGGUCCUAGCUAUUCAGGAAACUGAGGUGGGAGGAUCACUUGAGCCUGGAAGUUCAAGACAGCAGUGAGCUAUGCUCACACCACUGCACUCCAUCCUGGGCAACAGAGCUGGACUCUGUCUCAAAAAACAUAACACUAAAACAUCAAAAUUAAAAAAAAAAAAACAAUGAAAGUAGCCUCCACUUACAAACUAAUUACUCUUUCUUGAAAAUAUUACACUUUUUUUCUUCUAUAUCUCUACUCCUAGCUCUCAACACCUUUCUUAAGCCCACAUCAUAACCUGUCUUGCAUAACUUUGUGAGUGCCCAACGUUUCACUGUACAAGAUUGUAGAGCUGCAUGCUUCUUAAGAAUAAAUCCACACUUUAGGUACCAGUAAAUCCAUGCAAUGCCUCAGACGUUAUAACCAAAUAAUGCCUGGAAAAUCGACAUGAAUUUAUGUGAAGCAUAAGCCUUUAAUUUUUUUAAAGAAAAGUAGAUUGCUGUUUUUCCACAUCAUUUCAGAGCCGUUCUCUAGUUUUGCAUGCCCUUUACUGCAGAACCAUACAGAUUUUGUUCUCCAUUUCAUACAUCAUUUGUUGAAAUGCCCUUUAAAAUGUAACGGAAUAUAGAGCUUUAUGGGAAAAAAUGCUGUAGAAAAUAAAUUAUCUUCUCUCUUUGUAUUGGGAACCAAAAGGUCUCACCUUAUUAAUGACCACAGAGACUCUCCUAAAGCAAUUCUGGAAGUCAAAACAGCUGGAGUCUAGUUUAAUGGGAACCCUCAUUAAUUAGACAAGAACACCAAGGCUAUGACCACAGCAGCUGGUAGCAGCAGCCCUGCAGUGAAGUAGACUCUCAGAGGACACAAGGAAAGAGUGUAUUGAUAAGAAAUCUACAGCAAAGGUGUAGCACAUCAUCAUUUGAUCUUGAUACACUUGACUGUGGGCAAAGUACCUGUUAUGUAAAACAUGCUUUGUUAGUUAGGGCCAUGAUAAGCUGCUUAAGCUGAUGAAUGAACACCAAAUCUCAGUGUUUUUUUUUUUUUUUUUGGUUUUUUUUUUUGAGACAGAGUCUCACUCUGUCGCCCAGGCUGGAGUGCAGUGGGGUGAUCUCAGCUCACUGCAAGCUCCGCCUCCCAGGUUCACGCCAUUCUCCUGCCUCAGCCUCCCGAGUAGCUGGGACUACAGGCGCCCGCCACCAUGCCCAGCUAAUUUUUUUGUAUUUUUAGUAGAGACGAGGUUUCACCAUGUUAGCCAGGAUGGUCUCAAUCUCCUGACCUCAUGAUCCGCCCGCCUCAGCCUCCCAAAGUGCUGGGAUUACAGGCGUGAGCCACCGCACCCAGCCCGUAUUUUUUUUUCUAACAAAUACCUGGUGUUAAGCCCAAAGUGUGUGUUUCUGGUUGGCUGGUGAUGCUCUUUCAAGUCCUGAAUCAGGGACCCAAUAACUUUCAACAUUGUGGCUCAGCUCUCUUCAACAGCUGCCUCCAAGUUCUCUUGAGAUAUUGGUAUUUAUCAGAGGAGAGGGGAUGGAGAAGGUAUAUGCCUUUGCUAGAGCUGCCAUAACAAAGGACUGUAGACUGAGGGGCUUAAACAACAGAAAUUUAUUUCCUUACAAUCCUGGAGGUCGGAAGUCUGAGAUCAAGGUGUGGGCAGGGCUGGUUCCUCCUGAGGCCUCUCUCCUUGGCUUGUAGACUCUGUGUUCUCCCUUUGUCCUCAUACAGUCGUCUCUCUGUGUGUGUCUGUGUCCUCAUCUCUUCUUAUGAGGUGUCUUAGUCCAUUUCAAGCUGCUAUAACAGAACACCAUAGACUGCAGGGCUUAAACAACAGACAUUUAUUCUCCCAUUGUCUUGGAGGCUAUCUAUCUACCUAUGUAGCAUCUAUCUACCCAUCUAUCUAUCAUCUGUGUAUAAUCUACCUAUUAUCUAUCUAUCUACUUAUCAUCUACUUAUCAUCUACCUAUCAUCUGUCUAUUUUUCUGUCUAUCAUCUAUCUACCAUCUAUGUAUCUACCUAUCAUCUAGCCAUCUGUCAUCUAUCAUCUAUCACCUAUCAUCUAUCUGUCUCACCUAUCAUUUAUCUAUGUAUUUGUGUAUCAUCAUCACCCAGCUAUGAACUAUCUAUCAUGUAUGAUGUAUCUAUCAUCUAUGUAUCUACCUAUCUGUUAUUUUGGUCAAAUAUACAUAAUAUAAAACUCACCAUUUUAACCAUU